GUGGGGAAUCUUCCGCAAUGGACGAAAGUCUGACGGAGCAACGCCGCGUGAGUGAAGAAGGUUUUCGGAUCGUAAAGCUCUUUCGUUAGGGACGAACGUGCUCUUUGUGAAUAAUGAGGAGUAAUGACGGUACCUAAAUAAGAAGCCACGGCUAACUACGUGCCAGCAGCCGCGGUAAUACGUAGGUGGCAAGCGUUGUCCGGAAUUAUUGGGCGUAAAGCGCGCGCAGGCGGGAUAUCAAGUCUGUCUUAAAAGUGCGAGGCUCAACCUCGUGAGGGGACAGAAACUGGUAUUCUUGGGUGUCGGAGAGGAAAGUGGAAUUCCAAGUGUAGCGGUGAAAUGCGUAGAGAUUUGGAAGAACACCAGUGGCGAAGGCGACUUUCUGGACGAUGUCUGACGCUGAGGCGCGAAAGCUAGGGGAGCGAACGGGAUUAGAUACCCUGGUAGUCC
rnacentral:rRNA from 1 species